rnacentral:rRNA from 1 species
GACGAACGCUGGCGGCGUGCCUAAUACAUGCAAGUCGAACGCAGUGGCGAACGGGUGAGUAACGCGUAGGUAACUACCUAUUAGAGGGGGAUAACUAUUGGAAACGAUAGCUAAUACCGCAUACUAGUAGAUGGACCUGCGUUGUAUUAGCUAGUAGGGAGGGUAAUGGCCUACCUAGGCAACGAUACAUAGCCGGCCUGAGGAGGUGAACGGGCCCACUGGGACUUGUACACGGGCCAGACUCCCUCGGGAGGGAGCAGUAGGGAAUCUUCGGCAAUGGGGGGAACCCUGAACGAGCAACGCCGCGGGAGUGAAGAAGGUUUUCGGAUCGUAAAGCUCUGUUGUUAAGGAAGCGGUACUUAACCAGAAAGGGACGGCUAACUACGUGCCAGCCGCCGCGGUAAUAC